AACUAAAGCUAGCCCAACCACCCACUAACCCAACUACCACAACACCCCUCAANUCAAAACAUUUAACCACGCAUUAAAGUAUAGGAGAUAGAAAUUCUACUUGGAGCUAUAGAGAAAGUACCGCAAGGGAAUGAUGAAAGAAAAUUCAAAGUAAUAAACAGCAAAGACUACCCCUUAUACCUUUUGCAUAAUGAGCUAGCUAGAAUAAUUUAGCGAAGAGACCUUAAGCUAACUUCCCCGAAACCAGACGAGCUACCUAUGAGCAAUCCACAGGGAUAAACUCAUCUAUGUCGCAAAAUAGUGAGAAGACUUGCAGGUAGAGGUGAAAAGCCUAACGAGCCUGGUGAUAGCUGGUUGCCCAGAAUAGAAUUUUAGUUCAACUUUAAAUUUACCUAAAAACCCAAAAANUUAUAAUGUAAAUUUAAAAUAUAGUCUAAAAAGGUACAGCUUUUUAGAACAAGGAAACAACCUUGCUUAGAGAGUAAAAUUAAACAAAACCAUAGUAGGCCUAAAAGCAGCCACCAAUUAAGAAAGCGUUCAAGCUCAACAAUAUAACUCCCUUAAUCCCAAAAAACCCUAACCAACUCCUAACGUAUUACUGGGCUAAUCUAUUUAACAAUAGAAGCAAUAAUGCUAGUAUGAGUAACAAGAAGUACUUCUCCUUGCACAAGCUUAUAACAGUCAACGAAUGCCCACUGAUAGUUAACAACACGAUAAAAAUAAACCACUAAUAAAACAUCUAUCAAACCAAUUGUUAGCCCAACACAGGCGUGCAGUAAGGAAAGAUUAAAAGAAGUAAAAGGAACUCGGCAAACACAAACCCCGCCUGUUUACCAAAAACAUCACCUCCAGCAUACUCAGUAUUGGAGGCACUGCCUGCCCAGUGACAUUAGUUUAACGGCCGCGGUAUCCUGACCGUGCAAAGGUAGCAUAAUCAUUUGUUCUCUAAAUAAGGACUUGUAUGAAUGGCCACACGAGGGUUUAACUGUCUCUUACUUCCAAUCAGUGAAAUUGACCCCCCCGUGAAGAGGCGGGGAUAGAUUAAUAAGACGAGAAGACCCUAUGGAGCUUUAAUUAACUAACCCAUAGUAAGAACACUUAACCACCAACCAGGUCUAACAAGACCUUACUAAUGGAUUAGCAAUUUAGGUUGGGGUGACCUCGGAGAAUAAAACAACCUCCGAGUGAUACAAGCACAGACAAACCAGUCAAAGCAUCCUAUCAUUUAUUGAUCCAAUAACUUGAUCAACGGAACAAGUUACCCUAGGGAUAACAGCGCAAUCCUAUUUGAGAGUCCAUAUCAACAAUAGGGUUUACGACCUCGAUGUUGGAUCAGGACAUCCUGAUGGUGCAGCAGCUAUCAAGGGUUCGUUUGUUCAACGAUUAAAGUCCUACGUGAUCUGAGUUCAGACCGGAGUAAUCCAGGUCGGUUUCUAUCUAUUACAACAACUUCUCCCAGUACGAAAGGACAAGAGAAGUAAGGCCCACUCUACUGGAAUGCCUUAGGACUAAUAGAUGAUAUAAUCUUAAUCUAGCCAGUCCAUCUAAUUCCAUAACCCUAGAGAUAGGGUUU
rnacentral:rRNA from 1 species